UAAUGCAAUAGCUCACUUACAGAGACACCUAAUGGAUUACAAUUAUUAUCCUAUAUAUUAUUAUUUAUUACUAUAUUUUUUAAUUUAGUUUUAUCGUAUCGGUUUUAUAGGAAUUAUCUGUAAUGAUGACGAAAAACCCAUCAGUGGCGUAUCUAAAGAUAAUGACAAUCAGUGUUCAAUCAAUGACUAUUGUUGUUCUAGAAAUUGCCGUUUUUCGAUCGAUUUCAAUAAAUAUUGCCGACGCCUUUAAUGAAAAUAUUACGCACGGUCUCAGGUAUUACCUAUUUAAUAUUUUACUAUAAUAAAAUAUAUUACAUGCGUACUUAUAGUCGUAUACUCUUAUUCUUCGUUUUCUUAUAUGGUUUUGACUACUCCUUAAAGGUCUCAUACACUAUCAUUUAAAAUUGUUAGCUUAUGUAUGUAAAUAAGUCAUAAGUGAUAAUCUUUUUUGAUAAAUGAUGAAUUCCAAACAUGUUUG